rnacentral:rRNA from 1 species
ACCCUUAGAUGUCCGGGGCUGCACGCGCGCUACACUGGAGAAAUCAGCAUGCCUUCAUACCUGGCCCGAAAGGGUCGGGUAACCCGCUGAAACUUCUCCGUGAUUGGGAUAGGGAAUUGCAAUUAUUUCCCUUGAACGAGGAAUUCCUAGUAAGCACGGGUCAUAAGCUCGUACUGAUUACGUCCCUGCCCUUUGUACACACCGCCCGUCGCUACUACCGACUGGUAAGAUAUCUAAGGAGCAUGGACGUCGGCAGACGCGGUUCGCGCCGUGUCUGCGGGCAGAAGCGCCCCGCAGAUUUCUUGCUGGAGGAAGUAAAAGUCGUAACA